AGCGAACGCUGGCGGUAGGCCUAACACAUGCAAGUCGAACGGCAGCACAGUAAGAGCUUGCUCUUACGGGUGGCGAGUGGCAGACGGGUGAGGACAACAUCGGAAUCUACCUUUUCGUGGGGGAUAACGUAGGGAAACUUACGCUAAUACCGCAUACGACCUACGGGUGAAAGCAGGGGAUCUUCGGACCUUGCGCGUCUGAAUGAGCCGAUGUCGGAUUAUCUAGUUGGCGGGGUAAAGGCCCACCAAGGCGACGAUCCGUAGCUGGUCUGAGAGGAUGAUGAGCCAUCACAGAGCUGCGACACGGUCCAGCAGCCUACGAGAGGCGGCAGUGGGGAAGAUUAGACAAUGGGCGGAAGCCGGAUCCAGCCAUGCCGCGGGGGGGAAGAAGGCCUUCGUGUUGUAGAGCCCUUUUGUUGGGAAAGAAGAGCGGCAGGUUAAUACGCCGCUGUUCUGACGGUACCCAAAGAAUAAGCACCGGCUAACUUCGUG
rnacentral:rRNA from 1 species